ACCUUGUUGGCUCAGAUGGUAAGGAGUCUGCCUGCAAUGCAGGAGACCUGGGUUCAAUCCCUGGAGAAGGAA
rnacentral:tRNA from 1 species